rnacentral:rRNA from 1 species
AAUGAACGCUGGCGGCAGGCUUAACACAUGCAAGUCGAACGAGUGGCGGACGGGUGAGUGAUGCUUGGAAAUGUGGGUUAUGGAGGCGGAUAACUACGGUAAACUGUAGAUACUAGCGCGUACGAUCGUCUGAGCCAAAGUGGGAUGAGGUAGUUGGUGAGGAAAAGGCUGACAAAGCCGACGAGCUCUAGCUGGUCUGAGAGGAUGACCAGCCACACUGGGACGGAGACACGGCCCAGACUCCUACGGGAGGCAGCAGUGGGGAAUAUUGCGCAAUGGGGGCAACCUGACGCAGCCAUGCCGCGUGAAUGAAGAAGGCCUUCGGGUUGUAAAGUUCUUUCGGUAGCGAGGCGUUAACUACAGAAGAAGCACCGGCUAACUCCGUGCCAGCAGCCGCGGUAAUAC